rnacentral:lncRNA from 1 species
UAAAGAAAAGAAAAGAAAGAGAAAAAUUAGGGAUGUAACUGAAGUCCUACUUCCAAUCCUAGUUAGUUAAUUCACGAAUUAUUCACGAAUUAUUCGCGAAUUAUUGAAAAUCCGAAUUAAACGGUCCGUUUACUAUUUUUCCCAAAUAAAGAGAAUUAUUCGCAAAUUUUUGGGCUAGCUGAAUUGUUCGUGAAUUAUUCCCGAAUUAUUGAAAAUAUAAAUAAAAAACUUAUAAUUUUUAUUUUUAAAUAUAAAUUAUCUUAUAUUUUAUAUUUUAUACCGAAUCCAUUUUUUAAGCCGAAUUUUUCACCGAAUUUAAAAAUUAGAAAACGAAUUUUAUGCGUAUUGUUGGAACAGAUUGUGAUAAAGGUAUGAAAUAGAAAGAUUAAAAAGGCUUCAAGGCGUGUAGCAAUGCCACUUUCCUUAAGGCUUAAUCCGUCCCCACCGUUCUAACAAUUUGGUGUGCACCGGGUCAACGAACAACCUCCCAGGAUACAAUGAAGCGUAAACCUCAACUGCGUUUGCACACACGAAGUCGAGCCUUUGAGCACUCACUCGAUUAAGUUGUCAAAAGAAAUAGAAUAUAAAACAAGAAUGGAAUUAUUAUGAAUGAAGACUUCAACUCUUCAACUGUUUUCUGUCUGUCUCCUUCUGCAACCAAUGCUAUGGACUUAUAUAGGCCACGAACGGGUGCUUCAUGAAGUAACUAUUCACGAAAGGGUGUUUCGUGAAGUGACCUUUCGAUUGUGACUUUUCAUUUGAUCAUAACUACCAAAUAGUUAUAUGAAUCAAGUUCAAUGAAUAUAACCAUUGAUUCCAACGGGCAUAUGUACGAAGAGACACACUAUAAAGAUGUGUCUUUUCAUAUCAUAUUCUUUCACUAAAAGUCACAUCCUUUCACUCUAAGAGUCAUACCCUUUGAUUAGAGUUGCAUCCACUCACUAAGGGUUGCAUCCAUUCACUAAGAGUUGCAUCCAUUCACUAAGGAUUGCAUCCUUUCACGAAGAAUCACAUCCAUUCACUAAAAACAAUAAACAAAAUAUAUUAUUUUAAAAUUUUCCUUACAAUUCCCCACCAAAUUUUAAAAUACAUAAAAAUACAUCAAAAAGCAAAAUAAAACAAAAUCAAAAAUCAAAAUCAAAAUUCUUGACAACUUGACAAAACCGUAUGCAUAGGUGUAGGUGUAUUAAAACUUGAACCUACACUUAGUGAAAACACAUCAAAGUUAGUCAUAAUUGAAUGGUAGACAAGCUUUGAACCAACAAUUAUUUUCGACUAACCGGACAUAUCUCACACAUAGAAAUUUAUAAUCAGUCGAGUGCUCUAUUUUAUUGCUGACACUUUUAUGGCCUUGUGUCCGCAUCCUGUUUCAUGAAUGCUGUUAGAGUCAAGCCCUUAACUCCUAGAAGCGGCCACACUUCACAUUCAUAUAGGUAGACUCUACCAGAAGUGUCCCGUAUUUAACACUUCAGUAAAUACUACUGUAGGUCUAUUAAGAACUUUAUUAGUUCAACCUUCCCUUUUCAAUACGGAUACCAAGCACUUUACUUGGGAUGGAAAUUUUAUAUUAUAGUGCUUGCAAUCACUCCAUAUGAUGUACUUUGGCUCAUUGAACUUAAGACUUGAUGAUGUUUCAAGUGUUAAGUCGAGUUUCCAUCAUUGGUGACUUUGUAAUAUGGGCUUGAGACCCAUCCCCAUCGAUGUCCUGAAUAUCAAUUCUCUUGGAAGUCCCUUAGUCAACGGAUCCGCAAGAUUUUGGUUUGAUCUUACAAAAUCAAUGGUAAUUAUGCCAUCUGAUAUCAGUUGUUUUACAUAGCUAUGUCUUAAUCCAAUAUGUCUUGACUUCCCAUUGUAUGUUUGACUAUAUGCUCUUGAGAGCGUAGCUUCACUAUCGCAAUGUAGCGAUACCGGCGGCAUUGGUUUUGGCCAAACUGGAAUUUCAUAUAAUAAAUUCCUUAUCCAUUCCGCCUCCUUACUAGCAGACGCUAGUGCUAUAAAUUCUGCUGCCAUGGUAGAGUCCGCUAUACAUGUCUGUUUCUUAGAACCCCAAGAAAUCGCACCUCCACCUAAUAUAAAUAUCCACCCACUUGUGGAUGCAUGAUCUUCUUGAUCUGUUAUCCAACUGGCAUCUGUAUAGCCUUCCAAUACUGUUGGAUAUCCACUAUAGAAAAUUCCAUAGUCCAUUGUCUUUUUCAAAUAUUUCAAAAUUCUGUAAAUAGCAUGCCAAUGUACAUUACCUGGAUUGCUAGUAAAUCUACUUAAUUUACCAACAGCAAAUGCAAUAUCAGGCCUAGUACAAGACAUGGCAUACAUCAAACUUCCAAUAAUCUUAGAAUAUUCUAACUGAUUAAUUGAUCUACCAGUAUUACGAACUAGUUUUAGAUUAGGAUCAAAAGGAGUUGAUACUGGAGUACAAUCAAAAUAACCAAAUUUUCUAAGAAUCUUUUCGAUAUAAUGAGACUGUGUUAAAAAUAAUCCAUUAUUUUCACGAAUAAUUUUAAUUCCCAAAAUAAUAUCAGCCUCCCCCAUAUCUUUCAUAUCAAAAUUGCAAGAUAAAAAAUUUUUAGUAUUUUCUACUUGCUGAACAUCGGUGCCAAAAAUUAACAUGUCAUCAACAUAUAGACAUAUAAUAACACCUUUACCAUUUGAAAAUUUACUAUAAACACAUUUAUCAGAUUGAUUAAUUUUAUAACCAUUGGAAAGAACAAUCUGAUCAAACUUUUGAUGCCAUUGUUUAGGUGCUUGUUUAAGCCCAUACAACGACUUGAUAAGUUUACACACUUUGUGCUCUUGUCCAGGAACAACAAAGCCCUCGGGCUGUUCCAUAUAAACUUCUUCAUCUAAUUCUCCAUUUAAGAAUGCUGUUUUGACAUCCAUUUGAUGAAUAAUCAAAUUAUACAUUGAAGCAAGAGCAAUCAAAGUUCUAAUAGUCGCUAAUCUGGCAACAGGUGCAUAGGUAUCAAAAUAAUCAAUGCCUUCUUUUUGUGUAAACCCUUUGGCAACAAGUCUUGCCUUGAAUUUAUCUAUGGUGCCAUUUACAUUGAUUUUCUUUUUGAAAAUCCAUUUACACCCAAUAGGUUUACAUCCAGGAGGAAGAUCAACUAAUUUCCAUGUUUGGUUUGUCAUAAUUGAGUCCAUUUCAUCAUUUAUCGCUUCUUUCCAAAAAGCGACAUCAGGAGAUUUCAUUGCCUCCUCAAAUGUUGUGGGGUCUGAGUCAAUGUUUAAACAAAAUUGGAAACUUUCUGUAAUCAUUUCUCUACUACCCUCAACAAGAAAAGUAUAAAAAUCUGGUCCAAAUGUUUUAGCAAUUCUAACUCUUUUACUCCUUCUAAGUUCUGGGGUUUCAAUUGCAACAUCAUUUUUCUCAUUGGAGUGUUCUUUACUCACAAUAAGUUCUUUGGGUCUAGGAAUUGAUACAAAUCUGUUUUCAUCAAAUAUAGCAUCUUUAGAUUCAAAAACUGUGUUGAUCUCAAUGAAGUCAUUAGAUUCAAUCACGUAAAAUCUGUAUGCUUUACUAUGUUGUGCAUACCCAAUAAAUAUGCACUCAAUUCCUCUUUCACCCAGUUUCUUUCUUUUCGGUUCUGGAACCCUCACAAUAGCUCUACAACCCCAAACUUUUAAAUAAUUUAAAUUGGGCUUUCUUCCCUUGAAUAAUUCAUAAGGAGUUUUAUCAUUCUUUUUUGUUGGGAUUCUAUUUAGUAGAUGGCAAGCUGUUAAUAAAGCUUCGCCCCAAAAUCCAUAACUUAACCCAGAGUUAGAAAGCAUAGCAUUGACCAUUUCCAUUAAUGUUCUAUUUUUUCUUUCUGCAACUCCGUUUUGUUGUGGAGUAUAAGGUGCAGAGGUUUCAUGUAUAAUACCAAUGGACUCAAAAAAUGAAGGAUCAUAAUAUUCUCCUCCUCUGUCUGUUCUUAGGCAUUUGACCAUUUUCUCACAUUUCACCUCAACUUCAGAUUUAUAAAUUCUAAAUUUAUCUAGCGCUUCAUUUUUAGAAUGCAAAAGAUAAACAUAACUAUAUCUAGAAAAAUCAUCAAUAAAUGUAACAAAAUAUUUCUUUCCACCAAUAGAAGGAGAAGCAUGCAAGUCACAAACAUCACUAUGUACCAACUCAAGUAGAUUAGAACAUCUAUCAAUUUUAGGAAAAGACUUUCUAGUAAUUUUAGUGAGCAUGCAAGUAUUACAUUUUUCUAAUUUAUUAUCAAAAUUAGGAAUUAACUCUAACUUAGCCAUAUCUUGUAAUUUUCUAUAAUUAACAUGUCCUAAACGAUUAUGCCAUAAAGAAGAAGAGUCAAUAAUAUAGGCUGAAAUAUUUAUUUUAUUAAUAAGAUUGAGUUUGAACAUGCCCUCAUACAAAUAUCCUUUUCCCACAAAGAUUCCACCCUUCGACAAAAUAAAUUUGUCGGCCUCAAAUACAAGUUUGAACCCAAAUUUGUUAAGAAGACUUCCUGAAAUAAGAUUCUUCCUAACUUCAGGUACAUGAUACACAUCGGUGAGAGUGAGAGUUUUUCCUGAUGUGAACUCGAGUUCCACCUUGCCCUUUCCUUUGAUUUGUGCUGUUGAAGAAUUGCCCAUAUAGAGAACGUUUCCAUCCUCCAAUGCAUCAUAAGUUUUGAAUAAACUUUUAUCCUUGCACACAUGCCUUGUGGAACCCGAAUCAAUCCACCAAGCUCCGUCAUCUUCGAGUAUAUUAGCCUCGGAUAUCAUAGCCACAAAAUUUCUUUUGGAAUCCGGUGCACUUUCCUUUUUGAGGAACCGACAUUCUUUCUUGUAGUGGCCUGGUUUACCACAAUGAAAGCAUGCACCUUUCUUUUUCUUAUUUGUCAUGUUGUGGUUGAUCGGAUGCUUAGCUCUCUUUCGAUUUUCUUUUGUGGGUUGACGGGUUUUACUAUACUCAUCUUCCGUCACAUACACUUUGGCACUCUGAGCAUCUUGCUCCUUUUUGCUAUCUUGCAAACGAUAUUCUUCUUCUAUGCGAAGAUGGUUAGCCAAAUCUUUAAGAGUAAUCUCUUCCUUUCUAUGUUUAAGACUUUUCUUAAAGUCUUUCCAUGAUGGAGGAAGUUUAUCGAUUAUAGAGGCCACAAUUAUAGAUUCAUCCAUAUUCAUAUUAUGUUGAGUAAAUUGAUUGAGAAUAUGUUGAAUUUCAUGUAAUUGAUCUAGAACAGAUCUACUAUCAACCAUUUUAUAGUUAUUAAAUUUGCUAACAAGAAACUUCUUACUUGUGGCAUCCUCGGAUUUGUAUUUUUCUUCAAGGCCUUCCCACAGUUCUUUAGCCGUUUUCACAUUUUGAUAGACGUCGAAAAGCGCAUCCGACAUAGCAUUUAGAAUAUUGCCUCGGCAUAUAUUGUCAUCUUCAUCCCAUUUUUGUCUUGUACGAGUUUGUGCAACAGGUUCAUCAUCGUUUUCUUCUGGUCUUGGAGUAGUGAGGACAUAAGCAACUUUGAGAGUCGACAGAAGGAAAAAUAAUUUCUUCUGCCAGCGUCUGAAGUCCAUGCCAUCAAAUCUUUCUAGUCUCAUAAAGUUUGUUGCCAUCUCUCGUAGAGUAGCAGUCGACAUUUUCGGUUUUAAGCCUUAAGAUUGUUGGAACAGAUUGUGAUAAAGGUAUGAAAUAGAAAGAUUAAAAAGGCUUCAAGGCGUGUAGCAAUGCCACUUUCCUUAAGGCUUAAUCCGUCCCCACCGUUCUAACAAUUUGGUGUGCACCGGGUCAACGAACAACCUCCCAGGAUACAAUGAAGCGUAAACCUCAACUGCGUUUGCACACACGAAGUCGAGCCUUUGAGCACUCACUCGAUUAAGUUGUCAAAAGAAAUAGAAUAUAAAACAAGAAUGGAAUUAUUAUGAAUGAAGACUUCAACUCUUCAACUGUUUUCUGUCUGUCUCCUUCUGCAACCAAUGCUAUGGACUUAUAUAGGCCACGAACGGGUGCUUCAUGAAGUAACUAUUCACGAAAGGGUGUUUCGUGAAGUGACCUUUCGAUUGUGACUUUUCAUUUGAUCAUAACUACCAAAUAGUUAUAUGAAUCAAGUUCAAUGAAUAUAACCAUUGAUUCCAACGGGCAUAUGUACGAAGAGACACACUAUAAAGAUGUGUCUUUUCAUAUCAUAUUCUUUCACUAAAAGUCACAUCCUUUCACUUUAAGAGUCAUACCCUUUGAUUAGAGUUGCAUCCACUCACUAAGGGUUGCAUCCAUUCACUAAGAGUUGCAUCCAUUCACUAAGGAUUGCAUCCUUUCACGAAGAAUCACAUCCAUUCACUAAAAACAAUAAACAAAAUAUAUUAUUUUAAAAUUUUCCUUACACGUAUUAUAUCCGUAUUGAAUUUUUGCUGAAUUUGAAUUAACUAUCUAU